UACGUAGGGUGCAAGCGUUGUCCGGAAUUAUUGGGCGUAAAGAGCUCGUAGGCGGUCUGUCGCGUCUGCUGUGAAAACCUGGGGCUUAACCCCGGGCCUGCAGUGGGUACGGGCAGACUAGAGUGCGGUAGGGGAGACUGGAAUUCCUGGUGUAGCGGUGAAAUGCGCAGAUAUCAGGAGGAACACCGGUGGCGAAGGCGGCUCACUGGCCCGGUACUGACGCUGAGGUGCGAAAGCGUGGGGAGCAAACAGG
rnacentral:rRNA from 1 species